AACGUAGGACGCAAGCGUUGUCCGGAAUUAUUGGGCGUAAAGAGCUCGUAGGCGGCUUGUCACGUCGGGUGUGAAAGCCCGGGGCUUAACCCCGGGUCUGCAUUCGAUACGGGCUAGCUAGAGUGUGGUAGGGGAGAUCGGAAUUCCUGGUGUAGCGGUGAAAUGCGCAGAUAUCAGGAGGAACACCGGUGGCGAAGGCGGAUCUCUGGGCCAUUACUGACGCUGAGGAGCGAAAGCGUGGGGAGCGAACAGG
rnacentral:rRNA from 1 species